rnacentral:rRNA from 1 species
UACGAAGGGUGCUAGCGUUGCUCGGAAUCACUGGGCGUAAAGCGCACGUAGGCGGCUUUCUAAGUCAGGGGUGAAAUCCCGGAGCUCAACUCCGGAACUGCCUUUGAUACUGGGAGGCUCGAGUCCGGGAGAGGUGAGUGGAACUGCGAGUGUAGAGGUGAAAUUCGUAGAUAUUCGCAAGAACACCAGUGGCGAAGGCGGCUCACUGGCCCGGUACUGACGCUGAGGUGCGAAAGCGUGGGGAGCAAACAGG